GCUUUCAUAGCUUAGUUGGUUAGAGCACCCGUUUAGUAAGCGGGAGGUCUUGAGUUCAAAUCUCAAUGAAAGCA
rnacentral:tRNA from 1 species